CUUUGCACUCCACUGGUUUGGGAUGUUUAAAACAACGCUCAGUAACAGAAUUGUGCGGGUUAAUACAGACAAAAAAGUUUUGGAAACCAAUCCUUCGUGAUAUCACCUUCAUUCUCGUUUAAGAGGCUUCACACACUUCCUAGCUCCACUUGUUGCCCAGUGUCGUGUUCAGUAGGACACAUGCAGAAGGAAAAGAGGUCAGGCGAGAGAGAAGGACAAACAGAAGACGCAGACGCUGGGUCUCAGCUGGGAGAACAGCUGGACCUGGCACAGAAACCUGCCAUUAGCUACACUCAGCCAGCUAAACACAGCUCUGCCUCUAAGGAAGCUGGCAAACUGCGGCUCAUCCUGCCGUGUGGUGUUCGUCUCAGUCUUCAGAGGCACUGAAACAAACCCAAGAUAAAAUAAACAAAGAAGAAACGUAGGAGACCUGUAGAACCUACUUCUGCUGCAUAAUGAGGAGAUGGAGACGUCUCCUCGUCUUGCUAGAGACACAUCUGACAUCACGCAGCUCAUUUCAAAGGUUUACUCAUUGUUCUCUCCUGACACAUGUGUGCUAGCACCAGAGCAGGGGAAA